rnacentral:rRNA from 2 species
AGAUAACCGCUGAAAGCAUCUAAGCGGGAAACUUGCCUUGAGAUGAGUCUUCCCUGACCCUUUAAGGGUCCUAAAGGAACGUUUAAGACUAAGACGUUGAUAGGUUGGGUGUGUAAGCGUAGCGAUACGUUGAGCUAACCAAUACUAAUGAACCGUGAGGCUUAACCUG